GACGAACGCUGGCGGCGUGCUUAACACAUGCAAGUCGAGCGGUAAGGCCCUUUCGGGGGUACGACGAGCGGCGAACGGGUGAGUAACACGUGGGUGGACCUGCCCUCAGCUCUGGGAUAAGCCUGGGAAACCGGGUCUAAUACUGGAUAUGACUCCAUGACGCAUGUUGUGGGGUGGAAAGCCUUGUGCGGCUGAGGAUGGGCCCGCGG
rnacentral:rRNA from 1 species